rnacentral:rRNA from 1 species
UUGAGUUUGAUCAUGGCUCAGAUUGAACGCUGGCGGCAGGCCUAACACAUGCAAGUCGAGCGGCAGCACGGGUACUUGUACCUGGUGGCCCGCGGCGGACGGGUGAGUAAUGCCUAGGAAUCUGCCUGGUAGUGGGGGAUAACGCUCGGAAACGGACGCUAAUACCGCAUACGUCCUACGGGAGAAAGCAGGGGACCUUCGGGCCUUGCGCUAUCAGAUGAGCCUAGGUCGGAUUAGCUAGUUGGUGAGGUAAUGGCUCACCAAGGCGACGAUCCGUAACUGGUCUGAGAGGAUGAUCAGUCACACUGGAACUGAGACACGGUCCAGACUCCUACGGGAGGCAGCAGUGGGGAAUAUUGGACAAUGGGCGAAAGCCUGAUCCAGCCAUGCUGUUUUUUUGAAGAAGGUCUUCGGAUUGUAAAGCACUUUAAGUUGGGAGGAAGGGCAGUUACCUAAUACGUAUCUGUUUUGACGUUACCGACAGAAUAAGCACCGGCUAACUCUGUGCCAGCAGCCGCGGUAA